GUGCCAGCCGCCGCGGUAAUACGGAGGGUGCAAGCGUUAUCCGGAUUCACUGGGUUUAAAGGGAGCGUAGGUGGGCUUGUAAGUCAGUGGUGAAAUCUCUGGGCUUAACCCGGAAACUGCCAUUGAUACUAUAGGUCUUGAAUUCUCUGGAGGUAAGCGGAAUAUGUCAUGUAGCGGUGAAAUGCUUAGAUAUGACAUAGAACACCCAUUGCGAAGGCAGCUUACUACGGAGACAUUGACACUGAGGCUCGAAAGCGUGGGGAUCAAACAGGAUUAGAUACCCUAGUAGUCCACGCCCUAAACGAUGAUUACUCGACAUUAGCGAUAUUACUGUUAGUGUCUAAGCGAAAGCAUUAAGUAAUCCACCUGGGAAGUACGACCGCAAGGUUGAAACUCAAAGAAAUUGACGG
rnacentral:rRNA from 1 species